rnacentral:rRNA from 1 species
UACAGAGGUCUCAAGCGUUGUUCGGAUUCAUUGGGCGUAAAGGGCGCGUAGGUGGCGGGGCAAGUCAGGUGUGAAAUCUCGGGGCUCAACCCCGAAACUGCACUUGAUACUGCCUUGCUAGAGUACUGGAGAGGAGAUUGGAAUUUACGGUGUAGCAGUGAAAUGCGUAGAUAUCGUAAGGAAGACCAGUGGCGAAGGCGAAUCUCUGGACAGUUACUGACACUGAGGCUCGAAGGCCAGGGGAGCAAACGGG